rnacentral:rRNA from 1 species
CCCUUAGAUGUCCUGGGCCGCACGCGCGCUACACUGAUGCAUUCAACGAGUUUUACCUUGGCCGAGAGGCCUGGGCAAUCUUUUAAACCUGCAUCGUGAUAGGGAUAGAUUAUUGCAAUUAUUAAUCUUGAACGAGGAAUUCCUAGUAAACGCAGAUCAUCAAUCUGCAUUGAUUACGUCCCUGCCCUUUGUACACACCGCCCGUCGCACCUACCGAUUGAAUGGUCCGGUGAAGCCUCGGGAUUGUGGCCAGUUCACUUUAUUGGGAGUUGGCUGUGAGAACUUGUCUAAACCUUAUCAUUUAGAGGAAGGUGAAGUCGUAACA